rnacentral:rRNA from 1 species
GAUGAACGCUAGCGAUAGGCCUAACACAUGCAAGUCGAGGGGCAGCACAUGAGUAGCAAUACGAUGGUGGCGACCGGCGCACGGGUGAGUAACACGUAUGCAACCUACCUCUAACAGGGGGAUAACCCGUUGAAAGACGGACUAAUACCCCAUAAUACAGGGGCUCCGCAUGGAGAUAUUUGUUAAAGAUUUUAUCGGUUAGAGAUGGGCAUGCGUUCCAUUAGCUAGUUGGUGAGGUAACGGCUCACCAAGGCGACGAUGGAUAGGGGAACUGAGAGGUUUAUCCCCCACACUGGAACUGAGACACGGUCCAGACUCCUACGGGAGGCAGCAGUGAGGAAUAUUGGUCAAUGGAGGCAACUCUGAACCAGCCAAGUCGCGCGAAGGAUGAAGGUCUUAUGGAUUGUAAACUUCUUUUGCAGGGGAAUAAAUAGCGGUACGUGUACCGUUUUGCAUGUACCCUGCGAAUAAGGAUCGGCUAACUCCGUGCCAGCAGCCG